rnacentral:rRNA from 1 species
UACGUAGGGUGCAAGCGUUAAUCGGAAUACUGGGCGUAAAGCGUGCGCAGGCGGUUUUGUAAGUUUGUCGUGAAAUCCCCGGGCUCAACCUGGGAAUGGCGAUGAAGACUGCAAGGCUAGAAUCUGGCAGAGGGGGGUAGAACUCCACGUGUAGCAGUGAAAUGCGUAGAGAUGUGGAGGAACACCGAUGGCGAAGGCAGCCCCCUGGGUCAAGAUUGACGCUCAUGCACGAAAGCGUGGGGAGCAAACAGG